UACCACCGCAGGAAAUCGGGCUGUUUUGUUUUUGGUUUGGUUUGGACGGUGCAGUUGCAUCGUGCCUAGGGUGUUUGCCCUUAUAACAGCCCUGGUAUUUCAGGUCUCUUUGGUGGGCAGAGUUAUUUCGGCACACAAACGCCAGCUUAAGGUUGUGCCAGCCUCUCGCCGAAAGGUCUCCAAGCGUUUUGCCUUUCAAGGAGAGUGCCAUUUUGCCAAUCGAGGUAGAUCGAAUGGCAUUGGAGGACGAUAUCGACACGCCAGCGGUUGCGCAUAACAGGAAGCGAAGGCGAGACGAAGAUUACAGCAGCACUGACGAUAGCUGAUGAUGAUGAUUUCUACGGUUUUGCGGCCGAUUCUUUCAUUUUUUCGGGGGAGGAUGUCGAUCCUUCCAACAAUACGAGGCAUACGCCGAUCAACGAGAAUCGACGUUCGAAGAGAAAACGUAUUAAAAAGAACAAAUCGGAUUAUGUGUAUUACUAGUUCUUUAUAGUUUAAUAAUAAUGAAGUUAUAUCAGAAAUUAAGUGUAAUUUACGAUUAAGCAUGUCAGUUUUGCUAGUGCUAUCUGAACAAUUUCUGUUAAAAAGUAUAAAUUUGAAUUGUCUGAAUGCCUAUGAUUUUCUAUCUUAAGGAUGAAGGAGUUGUAGAGGUGUGAGAAUACCUCUUUCGAAUUUAGUUCAGUUCGGUAAAAUGAACGGUCACCCGAGGACUAACUGCGCGAAUUGAGAGUAAGAAGAGAGAGCGUAGGUUAAAGGUGAUGUAACCGAAUAGGAGAAAUAUAGUGGUUGUAUACUUUGGAUUGUGAACUGGAAAACAA